rnacentral:rRNA from 1 species
GCCAGCAGCCGCGGUAAUUCCAGCUCCAAUAGCGUAUAUUAAAGUUGUUGUGGUUAAAAAGCUCGUAGUUGGAUCUCGGCGGACUGAGGGCGGUUUGCUUGCUAGUAUUACUGCCCUAUAGUCCGUAGUUUUGCCAGAGGUUUCGGGGUGCUCUUAAUCGAGUGUCCCGGGAUGCUGGCAGGUUUACUUUGAAAAAAUUAGAGUGCUCAAAGCAGGCUAUUACGCCUGAAUAUUCGUGCAUGGAAUAAUAGAAUAGGAAGUCGUUUCUAUUUUGUUGGUUUUCGGAAAUCGACUUAAUGAUUAAUAGGGACAGUCGGGGGCAUUUGUAUUCAAACGACAGAGGUGAAAUUCUUGGACCGUUUGAAGACAAACUACUGCGAAAGCAUUUGCCAAGAAUGUUUUCAUUAAUCAAGAACGAAAGUUAAAGGUUCGAAGGCGAUUAGAUACCGCCCUAGUUUUAACCAUAAACGAUGCCAGCUAGCGAUCUGCGGACGUUUUUUUUGUAGACUCCGCAGGAAGCUUCCGGGAAACCAAAGCAUUUGGGUUCCAGGGGAAGUAUGGUUGCAAAGCUGAAACUUAAAGGAAUUGACGGAAGGGCACCACCAGGAGUGGAGCCUGUGGCUUAAUUUGACUCAACACGGGAAAUCUCACCAGGCCCGGACACUGGAAGGAUUGACAGAUUGAUAGCUCUUUCUUGAUUCGGUGGGUGGUGGUGCAUGGCCGUUCUUAGUUGGUGGAGUGAUUUGUCUGGUUAAUUCCGAUAACGAACGAGACUCUGUCCUGCUAAAUAGUGUCUGCUUCUCUUUUGAGCAGACAAUUCUUCUUAGAGGGACUGGCGACUCUUAGUCGCACGAGAUUGAGCAAUAACAGGUCUGUGAUGCCCAAG